rnacentral:rRNA from 1 species
GAUGAACGCUGGCGGCGUGCUUAACACAUGCAAGUCGAACGAGAAGUGAAGCCGGAAACCUUCGGGCGGAAGGCUUUAUUUCGAGUGGCGGACGGGUGAGUAACGCGUGGGUAACCUGCCUCAUACAGGGGGAUAACAGUUGGAAACGACUGUUAAUACCGCAUAAGACCACAGCACCGCAUGGUGCGGGGGUAAAAACUCCGGUGGUAUGAGAUGGACCCGCGUUCGAUUAGCCAGUUGGCGGGGUAACGGCCCACCAAAGCGACGAUCGAUAGCCGAUCUGAGAGGAUGACCGGCCACAUUGGGACUGAGACACGGCCCAAACUCCUACGGGAGGCAGCAGUGGGGAAUAUUGCACAAUGGGGGAAACCCUGAUGCAGCGACGCCGCGUGAGUGAAGAAGUAUUUCGGUAUGUAAAGCUCUAUCAGCAGGGAAGAAAAUGACGGUACCUGAGUAAGAAGCCCCGGCUAACUACGUG